AUAUAUAUAUAUAUAUAUAUGUGUUAAUACAUGCAUUAUCUUUUUCCUGCCUUAUAAGUUGUUUUGUUGCUAAGAAUUUUUCUUUGUGUGUUUUUUUUUUUUUUUUUUUAUGUGCAACAAAUGCAUAGAUAUUAUUGAUUUUGCCAGCCACCUAGAACAAAACACAGGCACCCCCCUUCAGCUAUCCUGUACAUUUUUUCCAGUCUAAAGUGUUUUUAAAGGAAAUGUAGUAAUAUGAAUUUUUAUUUUAAAAAGAAACUGUAGUUAUAUGAAAUCUUAUUUUAAUUGUCCAUCCUAAACUAUUAAUCUUCAUCAUCAUGUCACUGGUAUAGUUCCGUUGCUCCGUUCACACAGAAAACAUAAAGGUGCCAUACACUGUGCUGUUUAAAAGAUAUGCUAUGAUCUUUAAAGAAAGGACAAUACACUAAUUAUGUGUCUUGUCGUUAUUUCAUUCUACUUUUUAGUACAUUAGCUAUCUUUAUUUAAAAUUGAAAAACACCCUUUAAAUGGGAAAUUAUUAUGGGGAUAGAUAAUAGCAUUUGAUGACCACAUUCAUAAUGUUGCAAGAGGUUUUGCUCUUACAGGAAUUAUAAUUUCAUAAUUGUUCAUUGUGGAUACUGGUUUUCCCCUGAGUGACUGGGAUGUUUCUCGCAACCAGUCUAGGCUGAACACUAGUCUCCUUGCUUGCAUUCCACCUAUACAAGUAUUGAACCAAAAAUUUAAAUAGUUUCCCAUAGAUGAUUUGGUUCAUUCAUGGACAUGACUUAGAGCUGUACAAUGACUUCCAUAUGAUUGGUGUUUCAUCGCAUUGUGCAGAUCUAAUAAGUCCCUGUUUUUAUUAACAUGGUAAUUUAGGGUGGAAAGACUUAAAUAUGAUAUUGGAUCCAAGAGCCACUACACCAUUACAAUAUAGGGUUGUUAGUGAAUGCUUGAGGAUUGUUAGUUUAUUAAUUAAUAGCCUCUGCUGUCCUGGACUUAUGUAUAUCUAGAUUCUGAGCAUUACAGGAAAUAUUUUACAGAUGAUAUCCUCUCACAACAAAGUAGGGGUAGUUAAUUUAUUGAAAACAUGACCUGCUCUAUGUAAUAAUAGGUAACUCAUGUAAUGUGCAUACAGUGUACCAUACACCCAAAAAUUCAGAGACUCAAGUGACAGAGCUGAUUUAAUUCUUCUUGGAAGGCUUGCUAUAAAUACAAUAACAACUCCAACUGACCAGUAGUGGUUAUGGAGCAAAGGU